rnacentral:miRNA from 1 species
CCCCAGUGUCUGUCUCUCUCUCUCUCUCUCUCUCUCUCUCUAUAUAUAUAUAUAUAUAUAUAUAUAUAGAGAGAGAGAGAGAGAGAGAGAGAGAGAGAGAGGUUUU